ensembl:snRNA U5 U5 spliceosomal RNA
ACACUCUGAUUUCUCUUCAGAUCGCAUAAAUCUUUCGCCUUUUACUAAAGAUUUCCGUGGAGAGGAACGUUAUCAGUAUUAGCUAAUUUUUUAAUGCCCUGUUUUACGGCGGGGCU